CGUGCGGUGGUGUAAUGAGUAAGCACUCUGAUUAGCACCCAGAGGUUCUCGGUUCGAAUCCGGGCCCCCUCA